AGUGAACGCUGGCGGCGUGCUUAACACAUGCAAGUCGAGCGAAUUCUAACAGCGUAUCGUUAGAGUUAGCGGCAGACGGGUGAGUAAUACUUGGGCAAUCUGCCCUUAAGAGGAAACAACCUGCCGAGAGGCGGGCUAAUGUUCCAUAAGACCACAGGAUGGCAUCAUCCAGGGGUUAAAGCUCCGCAAGGGGCGCUUGAGGAGGAGCCCGAGUCCUANCAUGGUAGUUGGUGAGGUAAUGGCC
rnacentral:rRNA from 1 species